rnacentral:rRNA from 1 species
UACGUAGGGUGCAAGCGUUGUCCGGAAUUAUUGGGCGUAAAGAGCUCGUAGGCGGUCUGUCGCGUCUGCUGUGAAAACCUGGGGCUUAACCCCGGGCCUGCAGUGGGUACGGGCAGACUAGAGUGUGGUAGGGGAGACUGGAAUUCCUGGUGUAGCGGUGAAAUGCGCAGAUAUCAGGAGGAACACCGGUGGCGAAGGCGGGUCUCUGGGCCAUAACUGACGCUGAGGAGCGAAAAGCGUGGGGGAGCGAACAGG